AGUGAACGCUAGCGGUAGGCCUAACACAUGCAAGUCGAACGGCAGCACAGUAAGAGCUUGCUCUUACGGGUGGCGAGUGGCGGACGGGUGAGGAAUACAUCGGAAUCUACUUUUUCGUGGGGGAUAACGUAGGGAAACUUACGCUAAUACCGCAUACGACCUACGGGUGAAAGCAGGGGAUCUUCGGACCUUGCGCGAUUGAAUGAGCCGAUGUCGGAUUAGCUAGUUGGCGGGGUAAAGGCCCACCAAGGCGACGAUCCGUAGCUGGUCUGAGAGGAUGAUCAGCCACACUGGAACUGGGACACGGUCCAGACUCCUACGGGAGGCAGCAGUGGGGAAUAUUGGACAAUGGGCGCAAGCCUGAUCCAGCCAUACCGCGUGGGUGAAGAAGGCCUUCGGGUUGUAAAGCCCUUUUGUUGGGAAAGAAAAGCAGCAGGUUAAUACCCCGCUGUUCUGACGGUACCCAAAGAAUAAGCACCGGCUAACUUCGUG
rnacentral:rRNA from 1 species